UGGGAAUUUGGACAAUGGGCGAAAGCCUGAUCCAGCAAUGCCGCGUGUGUGAAGAAGGCCUUCGGGUUGUAAAGCACUUUUGUCCGGAAAGAAAUCCUUGGCUCUAAUACAGUCGGGGGAUGACGGUACCGGAAGAAUAAGCACCGGCUAACUACGUGCCAGCAGCCGCGGUAAUACGUAGGGUGCAAGCGUUAAUCGGAAUUACUGGGCGUAAAGCGUGCGCAGGCGGUUUGCUAAGACCGAUGUGAAAUCCCCGGGCUCAACCUGGGAACUGCAUUGGUGACUGGCAGGCUAGAGUAUGGCAGAGGGGGGUAGAAUUCCACGUGUAGCAGUGAAAUGCGUAGAGAUGUGGAGGAAUACCGAUGGCGAAGGCAGCCCCCUGGGCAAUACUGACGCUCAUGCACGAAAAGCGUGGGGAGCAAACAGGAUUAGAUACCCUGGUAGUCCACGCCCU
rnacentral:rRNA from 1 species